CUGUGGUUGUGGCUCAGUGGUAGAGCACUUGCCUAUCACAUGUGAGGCACUGGAUUCAAUCUCAGGACCACAUA
rnacentral:tRNA from 1 species